UGCACUUAGAUGAAUAUCAGCAACAUUGAUGAAAUAAUGGGGCUCUCCAAUUUCUCCAGCUAUGCAUCCAACAUCAAUUUUGGAUUUCAGCCCUUUAGCAAUGCGUUCUAUGGCAUCAUGUGGAUCAUUUUUCCAGCCAAGCGUCCUGGCAAAGUCAGAUCCAGUACCCAAGGGGAUUAUGCCAAGAGCAGUAGAAUGGCUGGAGUUCAUAUCAUGAUUACAAACAGGUUCUCCACCGCAGAAGAAGCCAUUAACAACCUCAUGAAGAGUUCCAUCACCACCGACUGCUAUUACAGCAUCAGCUCCUUCACGUAUAGCCUCUCUUGUUAUGUCAAUGGCAUGAGAAGGACCUGAAGUUAAAGAUUCGCAUAUAUUACAGUCAUUACCCAGGCGAGACCUGAGGUAAGGAAGUAACUUCUUCCAUUGCUGACCCGUAGUUCCAUUAGCUCCUCUGGGAUUAACGACGAAUAUGAGUUCACGGCGGCGAAAGGAAGCGCCGCCGCGGAGCACACUGCAGUCAG
rnacentral:misc_RNA from 1 species